ACGAGUGGCGGACGGGUGAGUAAUGUCUGGGAAACUGCCUGAUGGAGGGGGAUAACUACUGGAAACGGUAGCUAAUACCGCAUAACGUCGCAAGACCAAAGAGGGGGACCUUCGGGCCUCUUGCCAUCGGAUGUGCCCAGAUGGGAUUAGCUAGUAGGUGGGGUAACGGCUCACCUAGGCGACGAUCCCUAGCUGGUCUGAGAGGAUGACCAGCCACACUGGAACUGAGACACGGUCCAGACUCCUACGGGAGGCAGCAGUGGGGAAUAUUGCACAAUGGGCGCAAGCCUGAUGCAGCCAUGCCGCGUGUAUGAAGAAGGCCUUCGGGUUGUAAAGUACUUUCAGCGGGGAGGAAGGGAGUAAAGUUAAUACCUUUGCUCAUUGACGUUACCCGCAGAAGAAGCACCGGCUAACUCCGUGCCAGCAGCCGCGGUAAUACGGAGGGUGCAAGCGUUAAUCGGAAUUACUGGGCGUAAAGCGCACGCAGGCGGUUUGUUAAGUCAGAUGUGAAAUCCCCGGGCUCAACCUGGGAACUGCAUCUGAUACUGGCAAGCUUGAGUCUCGUAGAGGGGGGUAGAAUUCCAGGUGUAGCGGUGAAAUGCGUAGAGAUCUGGAGGAAUACCGGUGGCGAAGGCGGCCCCCUGGACGAAGACUGACGCUCAGGUGCGAAAG
rnacentral:rRNA from 1 species